GGGGCUGUCCGGGUUUGGCGAGCUCCUGCUGCCGAGAUGCGCCAAACACGGAACCCGGGUUGGCCCUCCGGGGGGUUCUCUCGCCCCCUCCCAACGCUCACUUCGCUGACAUAGGACUUCCAAGGUUCUUAGUGGAGGAGACCACGAAAGGAAAAUGCCUGCGAAAUGUCACUGGGGGUCGGGGGAGAGAUCGAAAAGAGCACGAGGCAGACGGACUGUCAUUCUCGCUUUUCCCCCACAAGUUCUAGAGAGCGCAGGGAACCGACCCUAGGCAGCCAGUCCCCACCCGACCCGGCCUAUCCCACCCCAGUCACCAUGGGCUCGGUUAGCUGUAUUCCUCUCCCGCCCUCCCCAUCGCUCUCCCGCCUCCGGGAGCACUGGCAAGUCCGGGGUUUCUCCUGCAGGUGCCAAGGUCGGCCCCGUCUGGGAGAGCCCGCUGGGCACCGCGCAGAGGAGAGCCGGGCGAACAGGCAGACCGCCUUGGGGCAAGACUGGAAGCGCAACCCCGCUGCGGAACCCCUUGAUAAAGACCAGCUCAACCAUGGCUGAGAAAACAGACUCAGGCUCCCCAGAGCGGUUAACCCGCCCGCCUCUGGGCAGAGACUGUAAUUGGGGUCGUGUUUGGGAGACUCGGGACCCUAUUUCCAAGGAGAGCUGUGGGGGACUUGUUUAUGUUUGUUGUUUUCAAAAUCAAGCAAAGGAAACAACAGCCAAUUAAAAUGCAAUAUUUUUAUUCCCCUCGCACGUCGUCAGUGAUUUGCCUCCAGGGACUCACAAUUUUCCCAAGCCUGUUAACGGGUGACAAUGAAAAAGAAAAAACAAAAGAAAACAACCACAAAGAACUCCCAGUGUGUUUUCUACUCUUCUUUUACUUUUUCUCGGAGGAAAGCGAAGGGAGAGAAAUGGACUUCACCAGUGUUCUUUGGCUUCAGCAAUUCACAGGAAAUGGCAUCAAGAUAGUUCAACUGAGACAUGGGCACUAAAAAUAUUAUAAAAAUACCUUUUUGAAAAACUCAGUUUCUCCUGUUUAGUAAAUAUUUAUUUCAUCAACAUGGGCUGCGUUCCACUGUGUCAGGAUUCUGCAUGUGCAUGGAGCACUGUUCCAGCCUGAGAAGAUGGUUCUGAGGCCACUUAGCAAGACAUAUUCCAGCAUGAGCAGGUUUCUCUGUGGAAAUAGUGACACCCUGUUCUGGUGUGUUGUCUUUCCUCGGGGAACUUAGGAGGUACAAAGCUCCUGAAAAUGUUCUUUAUGCUGGCUGAAGUUCUUAUGUCACUAUACUGAUUCCCUAUGAUGCAGAUUUGAAUCACAGAGUAAUUAAAACAUGGAUCAAGUAAGCCUGGGGUUCACCAAGGCUGCAAGCUGUAGCCAUUCAAGGCAUCAUUUCUGUCAUGAAAAUAUAGGACCUUUUCAAAACAUGCCUUCAGGAUGGUGUUCCCUUUUCAAACAAAAGUCUAAUGACUGCAUAACUCUUCUUGACCACACCUGACAUUUUCUCUAGGUUUGCUUAUUUACAGCUACUGGAACAAAAAGAUGAGACAAGAAAGCACACUGAUUGUCCUAAGAGUCUUCUGUGACUAAAAGCGCAUGAGCUUCUCCCCAGGCUGAGCUUUGACCCUCCCAAGCAUUUCCCCAAAGGCCAUGACACUGCAUCGGAUUGCUUCUGGACGCUUUCCUCAGAGUUUUCAACCAAUAUAAACCGAAGAAUGGAACAUAGCACCAGAUUUGCUAAUCAAGAGGCAAUGGUCCCAGUCCAAAUGGUGCUGUGUGUGAAUACAGAGCCCAGGAGAAGGGAAGGAGGUACAUGAACAUCGGGAGCUGCAAAAUCUUGCUGAACCAAUAGACCAACAGCCAUUAACAUUUGUCAGUGCAAAGAUCCUAAAAUAUGCAAGUGUGGAUUUGUCCUGCUGUAAGAACUGAAGCUGUGACAAUCACACUGCCAUGGACAUUUAAGCUCCUCUGAGGUUACUGAAUCUAACAGUGAAUAAACAAUGAAGAGUAGCUAAUUUUUGGAAAUCCUUUUCUAUGACCGGAAGGUAUUCACAAACUCAGAGUGAUUGUUUGGGGUGAAAGAUGGUCCCAUGCCUUGCGGGCCUCUCUUUGCUAUCUAUUCAACGUUGGAAAUGAACCCCUCCCUUACAGGAAGGUGAAUAGCAACCAAAGUGAGCCCACCCUGGGAGGGCAGAGUGGGUGUACUUUCCUCAAAGAGCCCUGAACACAACAGGGCACACAAACAGCCAGAGCACCCUCAACAAUACCCCAUCAUCUGCCCACCAGGGCACACAGAUUCACACAGAUUCAGUGACACAUUCCAAAAAAAAAAAAAAAAACGGAAUUAGGGAGGACCCAUAGCAUGGCCAAUGUGUAGAGAGCUUUACUACUCUUAGCGCCAUUGCUAAUUAUUGGAGCAAAGAAGGGCACACAAGGAAUGGAACCCAAUCUGUUUAAAGUAAUAAAUGUCAACCCUAAAGUGCAUGGAACUCUCUCUCCUUCCCUUUUGAGGGCUGUGUGCUUCACAAGCUGGGCAUUUGCUGCACGGGGUUUUCUAAUAUAAUGUGAAUUUUCAAUGUGCUUUGUCUCUGUAGAGUGGCUUUAAAAAGCCCUUGAAGUCCUCAGCUUUAAAUCCAUGCUAAUAGGGGAAGUCUUUUUUUUCUUUUUUUUUGGAGGUGGGGAGCUUUGGUUGGGAGAAACAUUGACCCAGACUGCACUCUGGGUAAACUAGGGCAAAAGACCUGAUAUCGUCUGCAGGGUACUUAUUAACCACUGUUCAUUUGCAGGAUCAAUAUUUCCAGCAAAGGAGUCAACACUCAGGAUACACUGCUACGUCUCACUUUUUCCUUGACACAACAAUUUAUUUUAUAAAUGCAUCUGCUGGAGAAGAAAAGGCAGUACCAAGGAUUGUGUCUUUUAUCUCCAGGAUAUGCAAAGCGCAUUUAUUUUCGGCUUUUAUCUCUGGAAUUGUAUGUUGAUCCCAUACAUAUAGAUUGAUUUUGUUCAGGUAGAUAAUGAAAAGUCAAGUGGAAAAUUACACAAUGGCAUUCACGAUCCUAGUCUUAUAUCGGUAUAUAAAUUGGUUUAUUAUUUCAUUCUAUUAAAGAGGCUUUUUUGUGUGUGUGUGUGUUUUUUUUUUGGUACCCGGAAAACUUCAAAAUGCAUUGUGUUGUUAGCCUCACUGAAUUUUCUUUUGGAGGAGAAGGUGGGGAGGGGAAGCCGAAGCCCCGAUUUCUCCUACUCCUUUUGCUAAUUGUAUUGGCUAAAUGAGCUUUCACAGAGGGAGGUCCUGGCUGCUUUUUGCUCUCCCCCAGCCCACUUGUAGGUUGCACACAGGGCUUCUGUAACUCUUUCUGGGUCAGGACAAAGAUAUCCACCGUGUACACCCUGUGACAAAGGUGGAUAUUUAUUUCACCCCGGGCAAUUCUAAAUUUUGUCAUGAUGACUGAAAGAGGCAAUCUCCUCCUGAGCACUAAGAGGCCAGGGGUGAGAGGGUGGCAGCAUAGAAAAGCCACCACCCAGAGACAGCUUGGAGCCACAAUCCUGGAGGAAAUGUUAUUAAUAAACAUCUUUUGGACAUUUGGUAGCCCGUGGAGCUUGCUCCAGCUUAAAGCAAUUAAUUCAGGACACUGACAUAAACUCUCCAGAUCUUUGACAGCUUGGAGCCGAAAUAAAAAUGCUAGUUCUCCGGGGAAGAGAAGAGGAUGGCUAGCCCUUUUCUGGACUGUUUGCUUAUAGGCCCAGAGAGCAACCUUCCUUGCAGAAUGAAAUGCAAGGGCACAGACAAUGUACCAGGGAGAGAAUAGAAGAUGGGAAUGAACAGUUUGAACUAUUUGCUCAGCAGAAGGGCACCACAAUGCUGGGGUAGUGGUUUUCCCAUGCGUCCACCGUCCCUUCUUUGGGAUCUUUUGUUGUCCCCUGUCUCCUUUGGCCAGAUAAGAGCACAGCUGCAGCAUUGCAGCUAAGUAAGGCCGUACUUAUCCCCCUAAAUCUCGGGGUGCCUUUACUGUAACAAGUUAUGCUUGGCUUUCUUUUAUUUUACAAGAGGAUGGUGAGGGAGAGAAUGGAAGAACAGAGGGGAUGGACGUAUAGGACACUGACACUGCCUAUGUCUGAUUUCUUUCUUUCUUUCUUUCUUUCUUUCUUUCUUUCUUUCUUUCUUUCUUUCUUUCUUUCUUUCUUUCUUCUUCUUUUCUUGCAAGCUGUGAUUAGAUGCAAUCUUUGUGGGUCAUUUAAAUGGAAGGGUUCAGUGAUGUGUAUUGCUUGCCAAGCCAAAAUGUUGCCUUUUGGGGAAAAGGGGGAGAGGUGCUCAUGGAGUGCAGAGAAAGGGGUUUUGGGGCAGAGAUUUUGGUUUAAAAUAACCAGACUUCUUCUGGCUGCUGAAAAGAGGAAAAAGUUUUAAAUUGUCAAAUUUAAAACUGUGUUCAGUUAUGAUUUGCCACUUCUGAGUAUUAUUUUGGAUUUCCCCUUUCCAUGCUUAUUUUGUUCAGAAUCCUAAUGAAUAGAGGUUGCUGGACUCAGGGUAAAAGCAGGAUGAACUGGAGAUGGGACAUACAAGGUACUUUUGUAAUUGCCAUAGAUUACAUCUAUAAUCAGAGUAAAUGUCAUCAACAAAUAAUCAAAAUAUUUUUUACAUUUGCUCUUCUAAAAUCAGAGCCUAUUUUAAAUAUAAGAGAAAGUAGAUAUGAUAAUGUAAACUACAGUUAUGUUAAGUUGAUAUUAAAGUCAAAAUCUAACACAGAUUUGCACUGUUGGGUGUGUGUUCUGAUUCACUGAGUUUUUCCACGGAUGUUGAUUUUGGGAGCCAGGCUUCAAUGUUUAAUUCUAUUGUAAUGUGGUUAUUUAGCCUGAAUGGUUUUAUAAGGUGAAAAGGCAAAAAAAUUAAUUCCAAAGAAAACUAAUGGUUUACUAUGAUUGCGUUAAACAUUUCAGAAGCCCACCUGUGGGAAAUACAAAGUAUUAAUACUGUGUGUUAUUUUGCUUUUGUAUUUUUGUCUCACCGACAAAACUGGCAGAAAAAAAAUGCUUUCGUAUAUUUUUCCUGCUGGGUGGUCAGAAGGAAAGGCCAUGAAGCUAAAGGUCUCCCAUUGAGACGCUGCUCUGCAAAGAGCCGACCUCACGUGCCGCUGCCAGAGAAGAAAGCACCUGUUCAUCUCGGCUCACUGUGGGUCUGAGCUCAGCACUGGCAGGCGAGGGGCCGCACGCCUCCCCCACAGCCACCGAGAGGGCAUCCCUGCAGGGAAAUCAUAUCCAACGUGCCUGUGCCCACACCAGACUUAAGACAGCCUCUAAAAUGUCCAUGAAGCCAUUGUCCAGUAGAGCUGUUAGUUUUAAAACCAGUGAGUAUUACCUUUGGUUAAAAGGAUGCAUGUGUAUAGGCGUGUGUGUGUCUGUGUGUGUAUGUGUUUGUGUUUUUGGACUUGUGUGUGAUAUAGGGAAAGGGUACGGAGAAUGAAGAAAGGGUUCCAUUAGGCAUUUGCAAAUAUUUGAUGGCAUCAUGAAAAGACAAAAACAUCCUAUAAAAUAUAUCAUAUUUUUCUAUGAUUUUGUGUGUACCUAUAAUAAAAUUAUUAAGUA